CUACGGAGGGUCCAAGCGCUAUCCGGAAUCAUUGGGUUUAAAGGGUCCGCAGGCGGUCAAUUAAGUCAGAGGUGAAAGCCCAUCGCUCAACGAUGGAACUGCCUUUGAUACUGGUUGACUUGAGUUAUACGGAAGUAGAUAGAAUAAGUAGUGUAGCGGUGAAAUGCAUAGAUAUUACUUAGAAUACCGAUUGCGAAGGCAGUCUACUACGUAUAUACUGACGCUGAGGGACGAAAGCGUGGGGAGCGAACAGGAUUAGAAACCCUAGUAGUCC
rnacentral:rRNA from 1 species